rnacentral:pre_miRNA from 1 species
UAGGUAAAACAACACUUGAUCUGGCUGUUUAUAAUUUGAUUGCAGACAGCUUUGAAGGUUUAUGUUUUCU